rnacentral:rRNA from 1 species
UACGAAGGGUGCAAGCGUUAAUCGGAAUUACUGGGCGUAAAGGGUGCGUAGGCGGUUAUUUAAGUCUGCCGUGAAAUCUCGGGGCUCAACUCCGAGCCUGCGUUCGAUACUGGGUAGCUAGAGUCUGGUAGGGGGAUCUGGAAUUCCUGGUGUAGCGGUGGAAUGCGCAGAUAUCAGGAGGAACACCGGUGGCGAAGGCGGGAUCCUGGGCCAGUACUGACGCUGAGGAGCGAAAGCGUGGGGAGCAAACAGG